GUUGUUUAUAGCUGUUUAAUAUGACCUAUGUGCAGUUCUGGAAAACCAGUGCAUCAGCUUUGGCAUCUAGUAACAAGACUGGCAUCAGCCAAGAGAGCCUUAUACACCUUCCACAUCUGGGACACCUACCCACUAGCCAGAAAUGAAUGAUGCACGGCUGAGACAAAGAUAAAAUCCUUUUGUGCUGCCCAUUCUUUCUGCAGAUCGUGGCCCAUGAAACCAGACUGGUGAAAGGACACAGUGUUACCACCACACCUCUCAGCUCCUCUGCCUGGCUCAUUUUGGUGAUCUGGUUUGCAGAGCCACCCCUGAAACUUUUCCUCCAGAGCAGCCAAGAGAGAAAGGAGCUGCCCUGCUCAGCCCGAACAGAGGCAGGAAAAGGUUUCAGCGCAGACAGGAACAUGGCCAAGCAAGAACAGGAGAUGUGAAGAAGAGAAAGUCUUCAGCAGCCCAGGGUGGCAUGUCUCACUAAAAGCCACAGAAGCUCUGGGACAGUCAUCUCCAGAAUGUGAAUUUACCAUCAACACAGCCUGGAAAAAU
rnacentral:lncRNA from 1 species